UACGUAGGGGGCUAGCGUUGUCCGGAUUUAUUGGGCGUAAAGAGCGUGUAGGCGGCCUGGUAGGUCUGCUGUGAAAACUCGAGGCUCAACCUCGAGAUGUCGGCGGAAACCAUCUGGCUAGAGUCCGGAAGAGGAGAGUGGAAUUCCUGGUGUAGCGGUGAAAUGCGCAGAUAUCAGGAAGAACACCUAUGGCGAAGGCAGCGCUCUGGGACGGUACUGACGCUGAGACGCGAAAGCGUGGGGAGCGAACAGG
rnacentral:rRNA from 1 species